UAAAUUGCUGUGGUAUUUUGACUAUACAAAGGUAUUGAAAUAAGGUUUUAAUUGAAUGCUAAAAGAAUGGAAUAUCAAAGAAUAACUUUCUUAAAAUUAAAAAUUGAAAUUUUUUUAAUUUGUGUAAAAACAAUUAUAUAAAUUAAAGACAAGAAGACCCUAAGAAUUUUUAAAAUUUAAAUUAACACAUUUUUGUUUUAAUUAAAUUUUAACUGGGGCGGUUAAAAAAUAUUAAAAACUUUUUAAUUUUGAAAAUGACCCAUUAUUAAUGAAAAUAUGCUAAAAUACUCUAGGGAUAACAGCGUUAUAUUUUUUGAUAGAUCAUAUUGACAAAAAAGUUUGCGACCUCGAUGUUGGAUUAGGAUACUUUUUUAAUGAAGAUAUUAAAAUAAGAAGUUUGUUCAACUUUUAAAUUCCUACUUGA
rnacentral:rRNA from 1 species